rnacentral:misc_RNA from 1 species
GCCAAGAAAGAUGCCGGAGCUGCUAAGAAGGCACCGAUCACUGUCCUCACUGAUGUUACCAAGGAGAAUAUCGAAGAGAAGUACCUUGUCGAUCGCGAGUUGGGCCGUGGCGAGUUUGGAGUUACUUAUCUUUGUAUUGACCGUGAUAAUAGAGAGUUACUGGCCUGUAAGAGUAUUUCCAAGCGGAAACUGAGGACUGCGGUGGAUAUUGAAGAUGUGAGGCGCGAAGUGGCGAUAAUGAAGCACUUGCCUAAGAAU